AGUGAACGCUGGCGGUAGGCCUAACACAUGCAAGUCGAACGGCAGCACAGUAAGAGCUUGCUCUUACGGGUGGCGAGUGGCGGACGGGUGAGGAAUACAUCGGAAUCUACUUUUUCGUGGGGGAUAACGUAGGGAAACUUACGCUAAUACCGCAUACGACCUACGGGUGAAAGCAGGGGAUCUUCGGACCUUGCGCGAUUGAAUGAGCCGAUGUCGGAUUAGCUAGUUGGCGGGGUAAAGGCCCACCAAGGCGACGAUCCGUAGCUGGUCUGAGAGGAUGAUCAGCCACACUGGAACUGGGACACGGUCCAGACUCCUACGGGAGGCAGCAGUGGGUAAUAUUGGACAAUGGGCGCAAGCCUGAUCCAGCCAUACCGCGUGGGUGAAGAAGGCCUUCGGGUUGUAAAGCCCUUUUGUUGGGAAAGAAAAGCAGCAGGUUAAUACCCCGCUGUUCUGACGGGACCCAAAGAAUAAGCACCGGCAAACUUCGU
rnacentral:rRNA from 1 species